UCCUGUACCUCAGCAGCAGAAUAUUGUUUUAAUUUGAGUCAAUUCUCAGCUGCAAACUGAGGUUUAUCAAUCUUAUAUGAAUAAAUAUCAGGUAACAUUUGAAACAGUGUGAACAGACUUUACAAAAGCCUUAAAUAAAUGACAAGAGAUUCUCCAUUGGUAAAUAGACAAUGGGCUGUGCAGUUUGUGGUCAGCCGCUUUUCGUUUGACGAAAUGAUAAAAUUUUACAAUUUUAUACAAUGUUUAUUGAGAACAAAUCCAGCAUGAAACUGUCUAUUGUCUGUGAAUUUGCCAAUAAGCGCCCUCAAGAACUGUAGUUCACCUCAAGGAUCUGCUUGAAGUGGUGUCUUUGUCAUCCAAUGUUGAGUUCCGAUAAUUAUGAUUUUGACUGGCAUUUCAAUGUCACAAUAUUUGAGAUCUACCAAUAAGUGCACUUCAACGCGAUUUUGCUUCUUGACUUAAAACUGCACCUCCUAUUUGAUUUCACUUCAAGCUCCAAUCUGUCAUCACAAUUGAAUAGGAGGUGAACAGGAACUUGUUUGUCUGUCAUUUUAAUCACUAAAUUUUUUUUAGCACAACAGUGAACACAUAGUCCUGACAGUGAAGCACAGAAGUGGGAGUGUGAUUAUGGGGUUGCAUAAAUGCUAACGUGUGAGAGAGACAAGGUUUAUUGAUAGCUUCAGUGGUUGUAUUUUUUAAAGUGUGAUUAUUUGCUGAAUUUAUUGUUGCCUUUUAUUCUGAUCUUUAGUUUUUAGACUGUUGUACAGUCCAGUGAUCUGAAAUUUUCAAAUAGUUACCGGGAAAGUUGGAACGCACAUUUUCUCUAUUUUCUGACAUCAUUAAUUGAAGCUCUGUUAUCCACACUGAACUCAUAUUUUUUUAUAUAUAUAUAAAUGAUGUGUUAUCAUGAAACAGAUCAUGUCCAAGAAAUACACUCCAGCCUGUAUCUUUUUCCAUUAUUCAUUAGCGUGCCUGUAAACACUAUAGAAAGCACUAAAGAUGUUUAUUGCUCUGUCUACAGCUCUUUGUUCCUUGUUCCUUGUUUGUUCCAUACUGUAAUUACAAGUCCUGUGACUCAGAAGACACCUUCAAAGAUUGAGUCUGAGUGGCCAGAAUGUGCAGAAUGUGUCUGCUGACGACAACUGCAGUGUACAGGUGACACGAGAGAAAAUACAGAUGCACCAAGAGUGUGGAAAGGUCAACCUGCGGUCAGCCUCCAGAACUAUACGACCCCAGAGUUCACAGGUCAUCAGCUCCUGAGGAUGAGAGGCUCUAAGAUGUAACAUCAUUACGAGCUGUUUCAUCGAUACAACUUGACAACCCUGAAUUCAAAGAUGCAGAAUUAAGCUGAAUUGAAGAGGACGGGACCCAUGCUGUGCCUUCAGACAGUGAGCAAGGCAGCCUCUGGAUCCCUGGGACGACACUCCACCCACAAAGAGAGGCGAUGGGGAAAACAGCAAGCAGAAACAAAAUACUUCACACACCCCUCUCCCCGAGAGGUGCCAGAUCUUUAUUUCACUCCUUUCUCUCUGCUUUUUCUGUCUCAGUGCCCACAAAGUGAUUGGAAAGCACACGACAAUCUGUUUUUGUUGACGUUCGAUGGCGCGUGAUAAUGUGGUCAUUAUCACCGCAAAAGGAACAGGUUGAGGCUCGGACAGGGUUUCAUUGGGGGCCUUUAGAGCGCACACAUACACCAACACACACAUGCACUUGCAGUGUGGGAAAAGAAUGCUUCUAAAGGAGGGGACAGCUGUUUGGGUGGCUUGUAGAGAAUGGUGAUCAUGUUAAAGGGAAGAUGGCCUACUGUAAACUCCACCUGUGCAUAUGGCCAUGCCUGAGGCUGUGGGGGGGAAAGCAGAAGCCAGGAGCCUCUCAUUUUGUUCUGUCCACUGAGAGGUGUGUAUUAGUGUGCGGGGCCUUACCAUUAGUACGUUUUAGCCAGUAAAAUCUGCAGAAAAAUCCACAUUCUUAACAUGACCUGCACUCUUGCCUAGUGUGUUGUAAUUUUUGAAAAAAAAAAAAAAAGUCGACUUAAACAUGCUGAAUGUGUGAAGUGUAAGCUUUCUAAUGGAGUGAACUGUUUGUCUUUGAUUAUGCACACUAUCAAUCACAUGAUGUAAAUGGUGGGUUGGUGUGUGUGAACCGAGUCUGACCGGAUGAGGGAUGUGAUUAACUCUUCUGUCUUUGUGUGUCCAGCUGACUUGAUUGAGGCCGGUCACAGAACAAGAGAGGCGAAGGAAGGGCAGGGAAGCAGUUAAUACCAAACAAAUGAAGGAAAUGGAUUAAAUCCCGCUGUUUUAUUAAAUUUGAAAUUCAAAUGAAAUGCUCGCUCCGUGCUUUUGCUCAUAAAUUAAGAGCCUGAAGCUCAUUCUGGGUCAUUUCCAGACUGUGCGUCAUCAUAUUGGUUAAGCAUCUCUGAUGUAAGAAUAGGAUUAACCCAUUCAAGCGAUGGAAGUUUGAGACUGAGCUUGGCCAAAUGUUUAAAUGAUGUAUAUAACUGAGCAAAGCACAGGAGGUGUUUUUUGUUUUUGUUUUAAAGGGCAAUUUGUUUUGUGUUGAAUGAGAUGAAAUUGCGGAGGCAGUGGAGGUCUCCUUCCUUCCCUCCCCCAGGGCUGAAUGGAAACGCCCAGGGGACAGGAUGGGACGGGCCUGACCUGCCUCUCAUUCAUCAGCCUUUCCCCCUGCCUUGCCCCAUAAUAUCAGUGAAAACAUCAGGUUAGCUCACACUACACUUUUCUGUCUGACACGACCAACCAGGCUGCAUUAAAAAUUCAAGACCCUAAGGUGUUUAAAAUGCACUAAAACUCACUGACCAAAUUGUCCGGCAACACAAAGUCAUUUAAUGCAGGUGCUGGUGCUGUUGAAUUUUUCAAAUGCAGCCUUUUUCUUAAUCAAAUUAUACAUAUUUUCAAACAUAUUUAAACUGAAUUAUUAAUGGGGUCAAUAGUUGUUAAUAAAAACAUUUUACAGACCAAAUAAUGGAGUUCACAAACCUAGUAACAGAACUCUAAGGAGCACCACUUGUUGGACUUGCAAUACAAACAUGGCCAAGCAGUAUGAAGUACACUGUAAAAACAAAUCUGUUGGGAAAAAAAAAGAAAAAGGGUGAAAAUCUGGCAACAAAUACAGCAGAAAACAUAUGCUUGUAACAAGAUGUGGAAUAAUGAAAGGUUUCAAAAUUGUGAAAGUAAUGGCAAAUAUCUGAUUUAACAAAAUGGGAAAAUCUCCAGAAUAAUAGUCAAAAAAAUAAUUAGUCAUUCUUCAAUUGUUAAUGUACAAACUUUUC